rnacentral:lncRNA from 1 species
UUUGUACUCUAUCUCCUUCAAAACCGUUCAACUUAGAAAAACCAUUCAAACACCGUUAGAUUCCUCUUCUUUUGGACAUGACUGUCUAUUUUUUCUCAUUUAUAACAUUUAUAUUUUUAAUUAUUCAACUUUUUUCAACAAAAUUUCCCAUGUUUUCAAUGGGGAGACCUUCAAAUCCUCAUUCAACUUACUCAUUUUCAAACUGUAUCUACUUCAACAUACGUUGACAUAGAGCUACCAUUCAAACUUUAAAACGAAGACAAGACAUUCAACUAUUCAACUUGUAUUUAUCUUUCAAUAUCUGUUAUACUUUUUCUUCAGUUCAGUUUAAGUUUCAUGAUGUUUUUCAGCCGUUUCAGCGUUUAUAAUGGGUGUGUAUGGGACGGAAUGUUGGGGCUAGAGUGAGACAGCUCAACUGCUAGAGUGAGAGGAGCGAAAAAAUUAAUCUUAAAAUAUUUUUUAAAACUGCUGCUGUGUCCGCAGCGUUUGCUCUACAGGUAUGAUUUUACCCUCAAAACGUAGCCAUCGCUGUCCUCUUUCAUCCAAUGUGUUUACUAUUGUGCUAGGUGUUAUGGUUCUUUCAUAAAUGUCACCAAGCACAGCCUCCCCUCCAACUCCUCCAUAGACUCAAUUUAAAUGGCUCAGAAGUUCCUUUGAAAAUCAGAAGAGGUGUCUUUACACUGUCACCACGUCCAUAUAAUAAACUCCACAGGCAUGAAAACUGAGAAUUAGGUAGACUGGACAUUGCUGCCGCUCACGGUGAAAGAAUUUGUCAAUAGGACCUGUACUUUUCAUUUGGGAGCGAUUUGUUUCGGCCUGACUUUUCUGUUCAUUUUAAGCAGCAAAAGUGAGGUCCAUCGCUGUCCUCUUUCAUCCAAUGUGUUUUACUAUUGUACUAGGUGUUAUGGUUCUUUCAUAAAUGUCACCAAAGCACAGCCUCCUCCCUCCAACUCCUCCAUAGACUCUAAUGUUAAAAUGGCUCAGAAGGUUCGUUUGAAAUCAGAAGAGCAUGGUGUUUUUACACUGUCACCACGUCCAUAUAAUAAACUCCACAGGCAUGAAAACUGAGAAUUAGGUAGACUGGACAUUGCUGCCGCUCACGGUGAAGAAUUUGUCAAUAGACUUAUACUU